rnacentral:rRNA from 1 species
GAUGAACGCUGGCGGCGUGCCUAAUACAUGCAAGUCGAGCGAACUGAUUAGAAGCUUGCUUCUAUGACGUUAGCGGCGGACGGGUGAGUAACACGUGGGCAACCUGCCUGUAAGACUGGGAUAACUUCGGGAAACCGAAGCUAAUACCGGAUAGGAUCUUCUCCUUCAUGGGAGAUGAUUGAAAGAUGGUUUCGGCUAUCACUUACAGAUGGGCCCGCGGUGCAUUAGCUAGUUGGUGAGGUAACGGCUCACCAAGGCAACGAUGCAUAGCCGACCUGAGAGGGUGAUCGGCCACACUGGGACGGGGACACGGCCCAGACUCCUACGGGAGGCAGCAGUAGGGAAUCUUCCGCAAUGGACGAAAGUCUGACGGAGCAACGCCGCGUGAGUGAUGAAGGCUUUCGGGUCGUAAAACUCUGUUGUUAGGGAAGAACAAGUACAAGAGUAACUGCUUGUACCUUGACGGUACCUAACCAGAAAGCCACGGCUAACUACGUGCCAGCAGCCGCCGUAAGAC